AAAAGUCUUUUUUCGCCUAACAAAAAUACUAAAAUAGCGAAAUAAACUUUUCGCUCUCAAUGAAACAAUAAGCCUUGUUAAUACGGUACUUUUUUAGCAUAAAGUGCUCUCUUAAUGUAGAGAGUGUGAAGAGUUGCGCUAUUAUUGUGUUCAAUAUUAAGUCGUAAGAGUUAACAAGACAAAUUCUUUUAACACGACUCCCCAUCACUCAUUUCAUACAUAAGACAUAACUCACAUUGAAGCAGUUCUUUAUAUAUAAAGAAGAGAAAAAAACUUAAUCAACAGGUAUUUAUUUGCCUCAUGACCAAAAAACUGUGCUCUAAAAGUAACAAAAUGCAAAGCUCUUUAACAAUGAAAGAUAAAAUUGUAAUGCUUGUAUAAUUGUUUCCUUGCAAUUUGGUAACAAGAAGUUAAAAAGCACAUUACAUUCAACACAUUCUACCGUGACUACUCAGAGGCUCCACC
rnacentral:misc_RNA from 1 species